GCCUGGUUGGCUUGGAAGGUAGAGCGUCUGCCUUUUAAGCGCUAGGUCGUGGGUUCGAUUCCCGCCCGGGGCG
rfam:Asian citrus Psyllid, Diaphorina citri - Florida Strain, whole genome shotgun sequence.